AAGCAUUUUGGCUCCUUCCAACCUCAACAGAAAAAAGCCACACGCUUUCUUCCCCUUAUAAUCGCGCCAUUAAAAUAUCCCGGUUCUUCUCCUCUGCUCAUUCGAACCGUCGAACGAUUCAUUACUGUGACUCACUCUCAUCUCAAUCUGUCUCUCUCUCUUUUAGAAAAAAGGUCAUCCAUGUUACGGGGAAGAGGAAUCCAUUACUUACAGAAAUUAAAGGCCGCAAAUAUUCCAACUGCUUUGUUAGAGAAAGGACAAAAUCGUGUUAUUGAUGCUUCUCUUACACUUAUCCGUGAGAGGGCAAAGCUUAAGGGAGAGCUUCUGCGUGCGUUAGGAGGUGUUACUGCUUCAACAACUCUUCUCGGAGUUCCAUUGGGACAUAACUCAUCGUUUCUUCAGGGGCCGGCCUUUGCUCCUCCUCGUAUAAGAGAGGCCAUUUGGUGUGGUAGCACCAACUCUACAACUGAAGA